GCCUCGGUAGUGUAGAGUUUAUAACGCACAAUGGUCUAGCAUACGAGACUGUCACUCUCGCGACCCGGGUUCGAAUCCCGGCCGAGGCG
rnacentral:tRNA from 1 species